rnacentral:rRNA from 1 species
UACGAGAGGCCCAAACGUUAUUCGGAUUUACUGGGCUUAAAGAGUUCGUAGGCGGCGCAGAAAGUGGGGUGUGAAAGCCCUCGGCUCAACCGAGGAAUUGCGCUCCAAACUACUGUGCUAGAGGAAGCUAGAGGUGAGCAGAACAGAUGGUGGAGCGGUGAAAUGCGUUGAUAUCAUCUGGAAUACCGGAGGCGAAGGCGGCUCACUGGGGCUUUUCUGACGCUGAGGAACGAAAGCGUGGGGAGCGAACAGG